CAAGUGAUAAAACCCCAAGUCAUACAUUAUUACACAGUGCAGGUUUACAAAAGCCACUAAAUCAUUUGCCAUGCUAUUCGGGGGAAAUAUCGUUACAGUAGAACUGAAACAAGCCACAGAGUAGAAGAUGUGUUACUGAAAUAAAGCACACGCAGGCCUGCCUUUUGAAGCGUUUUUUCCCAUGGCAGAAUCAAAAUGUGUCUAUAUGAGGCUGAGGCACAGCUCGAGGAGGAAUCGUGGCAGAAGGUCCAUAGGAUAUGGUACGCUAGGCGAUCUGACUGUUUGCAAAUGUUGAUGAACCCACUAAUGAGACAAAACGUAAGCAGAUUAUGGUCUGCUUCUAUCCUCAAAGCCGGACACAUUGACAAUCCCAUAAACAGGAAGAGAGAUUCAACAACAGCAUUCAGAAGUCCUAGACUAUUGAGCAAUCUCAGGUCAUGGAUUUAAUCCUUUCUAUAACUUUCUGGAUGUGAUGAGAUUCAAUUUGUUGAUUUAAAGGCACAUGUAAUUAAAUGAUAAAAAAGAUGCAAAAGAAAGAAGGGACAUAAAAAGAAGUUUGGAACUGUGGGAGAUGCAAACAAAUAUGUUUAAGUGAGUGAAGAUGUUUCUGAAGUAGCCUGGAUAAAAGGGGCUUUGCAUGUUUCUGAUUUCCAAAGCUUUAAACCAAAAGGCUUUCUUCCUUUAUUUUCCUUAGGUCUUUUACCAAUUGGGAUAUCAGAUUUCUAAUAAUUAUGAUGACCCAUUGAAGUACAGUCAGUUGGGAUGCUGUUACUUGAUUCAAAUUAAAAUGCAAAACAAUACUGCCAUUUACAUUUCAAAAUGCGACUGGAUGUGGGGAUUCAAGGAAUCAUAGAAAGCAGCAAUCGAAGAGGAAAUUAGAUUGGCAUUUUUGUUUACAAGGAUAGAAAGGAUAACAGCAAUGUCUCUUAUUAAAGCAGCAUUUUUUUCUCUUUUCCCUUUCCAGUAACAUUGUUGAAGUUGUUAUGGAAAUUCUUUCUAAAACUAUGGGACCAACGGCAACAUCAGUGUGUUACAUUGUAUGCUAUGGCUGCGGUUCUGCUAUUGUGUAAAAGGGGCAGCAUGAGGAUUCUCUUUCACCAGCUCUUAACUCUUGUCUGUUUUCACAUAGGUGCGUGCCAGUGCAAUUGCCCAAGAUGCUGACCAGAAUUACGACUAUGCCAGUAACAGUGUGGUCCUUCACCUGGAACCAGGAGAUGAAGUCUACAUCAAAUUAGACGGUGGCAAAGCUCACGGAGGAAACAACAACAAAUACAGCACGUUCUCUGGAUUUAUCAUUUAUGCUGACUGAUAAUGCAGACGCUGAGCUUGCUGUUCUGAGUGUGAACGCUGGAUUCCUAUGGCUAACGUCAGUGAAUCGAGGAUCCCAGGGGAUGCCCAUUGCAGGGGCAUCUCGGUUGUGUAAAUGUGGGGAGAUCAAAUGCUACCUGACUCACAUCUGUAUUACUCAGACACAUUAUGUAAAAAAAAAAAAAGUAUUUAACGCAAGAUAAGCAGAUGUGUGAUCCACUACCGCCAAAGCAAAUACUCCUUACUGUUAGUGUCCAUGUGAAUGAAGUCCUAUAUAGACCACAAAUUUUUAUAGAAAAAUCUAAGACACUGAAUUAUUUCUCCGAUAUCUAUGAUACUUUGGUGUACUGUGAUCUUGCUGCUUUACCUACAUGUCAGCUUUGGUUCUUGUGAGAUUACCUGCUUAUUGAGGUACUUGGAGUCUACUUGUAGUGUAGGGAGGAGUGGUUUUCCCUGCAGGAGAGGGUCUGAUUGAAAUAAUGCUGCUUGUCCCCAAAGAUAUUGUUUGCCUUGUACUCUGGUUAUCUUUAGAGCUAGACCUGGGAAUGAUUCAACUUGAAGCCUUAACCUGGAAUUUUCUGGUUUUGUGGGAACUCCCAAGCCUGUGAUCAUUUUCCCAUUUUUUUUCCUCUUCAUGUGACUUUUUUUCCCCCCUCUCUUUUCUGGUGAUAGUCUUAAAAAAAUAGAGAUUGAAAUUGUAUCAUAGAAUUACCCUCUAAGUGUGAAAAUGUAUAGUUAUGUACGGUAUUUAGAAAAAAAAACCCUGUCUGUCCAUUUCAUCAAUAGAAUACAUUUAGACUCUCUUGAACAGUCAGACAGAUUUAUUCUUUGGUAUGAAGUCAGAUGGAGGCUUUUGCCUUCUUUGGAACAAAAGAUUGUUCAUAACCUAAGGCACAAAAAGUUUAAUUUGAGCUACUGCAUGGGUCACCAAGGGGACACUAAGUAAGGCCUUCAAACACUUACCGCAAAUCUGUAGCCUGAGGUUGUUUCAAAAUUAACAGUUUCACAUAGAACCAAUAUGCCAACAAAGUGUAUAUAUUUUAUAUAAAUAUCUGCCACACACUUAUUUAUAUACAUAUACGUUAGAUGAAAAUAUUAUAUAUACAUGGCUUCAGUCCACUAGACACAGUGGCGGUAGAGCUCAAAAAAACUAAUUUAAAAAGUAUAUAUGUAUUCACACAGAACCAUGCACAAAUUAUUUGACUUAUUUUAGAUUGAAAUAUAUUUUAGAUGACACAAAUAUAGAGAGUAGUAAAGUCAUAAAAGCGACUUCUCUUUAAGGGUUAUCCAGAAAAUCAAAUCGCAGUAGAUUCCAAUGCCCCAUGUUGCACAUGUGAGAGUUACUUGAUCCCGUGGUUACCGUACUCCAUAUGCACUCUUUGGCAGACCCCUAACACAGGAGCUUGUUUCCUUGUUUCCUUGUUUAGGAAACAAGGAGCUCUCCCUCACAGUGUUUAUGAAACAAACACAUUCCAGUAGUCAAUUCUUUCUUUUCUUUCUGCUGGUUUGAAGCUGACAGGAUAGUGCGAACCCAUUCUCUCUAGUUAAAAACACUGCCAAGAGCCAUCUCUUUAGUGUAAGGGAAAGACCAAAACGCAUGCGAACAUGUCCUAGUAGCACACAAUUUCCCCUCUUACAGUGGGAAAUCUUUUUCCCCUUUUAGUUGCCGAUAAAUAAGCAUUAUUUUCUCUGUUUAGGCCUGAGGAAAAAAGAAAUAAAAGGUAAAUGAAAUAAAGGGACUAUAUAU
rnacentral:lncRNA from 1 species